UUCACUAUAGUUUAAUUGUCGUGAAUUUGACUCAUCCAGGAAAAUUUAAAUAAUGCAAUAAUUGAUAAGCUUGUCUGUACUAGUAUGUCUGUCUUUAUAUUAAAAAAAGUGUGUAGAGUUGAAGUUUGAACCAAAACAGUCUAACUACAAAAAAACAAUUUACCUACUUCAUGAAGGAAAGUGAAAAUGCUAUUUUUCAAAUCAGUUUAAAUUUGAUAAACGUAAUGUUUUUUUUUUGGAUCAAUAGCAAGAUAUGCAUUUGUUCUAAGUUUCGUAAUUUACAAAUUUUGAAAAUUAUACAAAGAAGGAGGAAAUCGCCGGACUUCCGCCCUCCACAGGGGACGGCGCGCGGAGCAUGUCGGAGUCGAACCGACUAAAACCUCCUGUCGCUCAACAACAAACGUUCAAACCUCACAUGAGACAGAACUCAUGAAAAGGCAAAGGGGGAAAGUGAAGUGAUGCUAUGAAGUAACAAAAUUAUUAUAUUAACAUUCACCGGCUAAACUUAAUUUUACGAGUAACUAUGCGUGUAGAAAUUAAAAGCUACUUAUAAAAAUCACA